rnacentral:lncRNA from 1 species
UGUAGGGGAGAGUGUUCCAACUGCCAGAGCUCUCCAGGAUGGAGUGGCCUGCCUCUGGGGCUAGUAAAUCUCCUGUCACAAAAGGUGCUCAAGCAUAAGAUGGCCUUUAAGGUCUUUCCAGCCUGGAGACUCAGUGACUCCAUGACUCAGGAAUGACAGAUCCUCCUUCAGUCACUGGGAGAGAGUUGGGGACUUAGCUGUGUCUGGGGCUGGUGUAUCAGCUAUGUUCCACAGAGGCACAACCCCAAAUUCUAGAGCCAGCUCCACCCCCAUCCCCAUCCCCACCUCCACAAUGUCUGCUUUUGCCAAUAAAGGCAGCACUGUCCAGAAAGCACUUUUCAGAGACCAGAAAAUUCCUGAUUUUUGGCCAGAGCAAAGGGAGACCAGCUGGAGUUGCCCGCAGGGUCAUCAUAAAGAAGAUGGUUAAUGAAAUUGUCUAGAUGUUGCCUCUUCUCUGGCUUAAGUCAUCCCAGCUCUCUGGGGCUCCUCCUGCCAGCUGGGGGAGGGCUGAUGUGUUUCCUGCUGUUUGCAUCUCAGAGGGAUGAAGCAAUUUUGGAGAAAGAGUAUUGACCCUAAAUUCCAGUCAUACUUUCAUCUCCCUGUGGGGGGUUUCCAUUAUCUCUUUAGUAUAAAACACAUUAUUAAUGGAUUAUGCUUUCAGUAGGUAAAGGUCUUUUUAAAAACGAUUUUAAUAAUUCCAACCUGGAUUUCCUUUUCAGAAAUACUAUUUUCAUGGCUCUGGCUAUGAACAUCAGCAUAUAGAGGAUGGAUCACUACCAAAGAAGGCACCCAAAUGUGUCCGUCUCAUCCUGAGGAAACCCACUCAUCUGUACAUGUACUCAGCAAGUGUUUGCUGGCACCUGCUCUGAGUCACAGGGUGUGCUGGGUACUGGAUGCUCAGAGAUGUGGAAGGAGGCUGGACUUUCAAGGAUUAACAGCUGCAGGAAGAAAUGAGAGGAUCUCCGUAUUGAGGCCUUGGCUUCUAUGUCUGUUCUCGAAGUGGUUGGAGUGCGGAUUUCUGAUUCUGUGCCCAGCCUCUAGGGACACAGUACAUAUAUAUUGGGAACGGUGGUAGGUGAUUGAGGUACGUUACUUCCAGACAAAAACGUGCCUGCAGAGGGAUAGCAAAAGCAUCUUACAGUGGCAGAAGCCCUGUGUGCGCAGGUGUCAGUGUUCUUCAAUUGUUCAGGCAAACUCAGACCCUCUGCUUCUCUUAACUUGAGAUGCUAGUUUUCCC